GCUCGGGUGGCGGAACCGGUAGACGCAGCGGACUUAAAAUCCGCGGCUGCCUCGGCAGCGUGCCAGUUCAAGUCUGGCCCCGAGCA
rnacentral:tRNA from 1 species